GCGCCCGUAGCUCAGCUGGAUAGAGCGCUGCCCUCCGGAGGCAGAGGUCUCAGGUUCGAAUCCCUGUCGGGCGCGCCA
rnacentral:tRNA from 1 species